CUUUCUUCAAUCAAAGUAACUGUCCGCUUUUGUUUGUUUCAGUUGGAGCCUGCUUCCAUACAAAAGAUAGCUGCCGCUUGAACGGAUCGCAGAAUUUGAUACGUUUACCAAUAACGACAUUAGGCCUGUUGAAAGACAUUCCUCAAGCAAUGCGACCCUAGUAGCGUGUGACCUAAUUCGGGAGAGAAAGAUCAGGUCGACAACAACCGAUAGCCAAAAAUCGAGCGCCAAAAAAAGAUGUACUUUGUUACUCGUGGCUAUGUAGUAUCCUCUAUACAUUCUGAUGUGGACCGGCAAGCAGGUGUGAGCGGAUUGGCAUUGAUUAGUGGACAGAACAUUUUUGUUAUGGGACGUGCAUCGGACUGACCCGAAUGUGCGCUAUUGCUGCUGCAAACAGCUACAGUGAUGCAGUGGACAUCAACGGUCAACAUUCAAUUUUGCAUGUGUCUGAAAAAAUAACUAUCCGAGUG